AUUGAACGCUGGCGGCAGGCCUAACACAUGCAAGUCGAGCGAGCGGCGGACGGGUGAGUAAUGUAUGGGGACUGCCCGAUAGAGGGGGAUAACUACUGGAAACGGUGGCUAAUACCGCAUACUAUCGGAUAACCCAUAUGGGAUUAGCUAGUAGGUGGGGUAAAGGCUCACCUAGGCGACGAUCUCUAGCUGGUCUGAGAGGAUGAUCAGCCACACUGGGACUUGGACAAGGCCCAGACUCCUACGGAGGGAGGCGGGGGGAAAUAUUGACAAUGGGGGGAAGCCCGAUGCAGCCAUGGCGGGUGGAUUAAGAAGGGCUUAGGGUUGUAAAGUACUUUCAGCGGGGAGGCGUUACCCGCAGAAGAAGCACCGGCUAACUCCGUGCCAGCAGCCGCGGUAAUAC
rnacentral:rRNA from 1 species